GGGGGCGCACUGGUUUCGACGGGGAUAGCAGAAGCCAAGGUUGCAGGUCGAGGUUGGUCGAUGGCCUCGUAAAAAUCGACCUAGCACACAAGUGCCAACAAUGACUACGACUACGCUAUAGCUGCCUAGUUUCUAGGUGACUGUAGUUCCAGGACAUGAUCCUGGCGGCUCCCUGGGCCUACGCCCGAUAAACCAGGGACGUCGACGACACCCCUUGGGCUAGCCCUGCGCGGCCACCUGUCCCGCACAAGGCGAAACUUUAGGCAGGCAUGUCAUGCAGCCGCCCGGUCAGGGGCAAUCCGCAUGCCGAGAACUGAAACCUGACCUAAACCUGUAGAUGCCUUGAGCUGAUCGUUCUCGGACGGGGGUUCGACUCCCCCCGCCUCCACCA
rfam:Desulfovibrio aespoeensis Aspo-2, complete genome.